rnacentral:rRNA from 1 species
CGGGGGGCAGCAGUGGGGAAUAUUGGACAAUGGGCCACAAGCCUGAUCCAGCAAUUCUGUGUGCACGAUGAAGGUCUUCGGAUUGUAAAGUGCUUUCAGUAGGGAAGAAAAAAAUGACGGUACCUACAGAAGAAGCGACGGCUAAAUAUGUGCCAGCAGCCGCGGUAAUACAUAUGUCGCAAGCGUUAUCCGGAUUUAUUGGGCGUAAAGCGCGUCUAGGCGGUUUACUAAGUCUGAUGUGAAAAUGCGGGGCUCAACUCCGUAUUGCGUUGGAAACUGGUAGACUAGAGUACUGGAGAGGUGGGCGGAACUACAAGUGUAGAGGUGGAAUUCGUAGAUAUUUGUAGGAAUGCCGAUGGAGAAGUCAGCUCACUGGACAGAUACUGACGCUAAAGCGCGAAAGCGUGGGGAGCAAACAGGAUUAGAUACCCCUGU